rnacentral:rRNA from 1 species
UAGGGAAUUUUCGUCAAUGGGGGCAACCCUGAACGAGCAAUGCCGCGUGAGCGAAGAAGGUCUUCGGAUUGUAAAGCUCUGUUGCCGGGGAAAAAGGAAGGAAAGAGGAAAUGCUUUUCUUUGGAUGGUACCCGGCCAGAAAGUCACGGCUAACUACGUGCCAGCAGCGCGGUAAUCUGUAUCU